rnacentral:rRNA from 1 species
GGGUCAUUAGGUUGGUCGUGCCACCGGUACGUACUGGUCUCACUGAUUCCUCCUUCCUGAAGAACCGUAAUGCCAUUAAUUUGGUGUUGCGGGGAAACAGGACUGUUACUUUGAAAAAAUUAGAGUGUUUAAAGCAAGCUAACGAUUGAAUACAUUAGCAUGGAAUAAUGAAAUAGGACGAUCGAUCCUAUUUUGUUGGUUUCUAGGAUUGACGUA